rnacentral:lncRNA from 1 species
GCAGUUGUGUAAAUCUGUAACCAUGUUUCCUUUUGUUAGAUUGAUAAGCAGCGUGAGUACCUUGACCGGAUAUGGAGAGGGGAGAGGAGGAGGAGCUGUCCAGAUGAAUAUGGUUUUCCUUUAAGUUUUGUCCCGAAACAACUGGUGUCAGUAGGUGGAAGUAGCCCAGCCCUGAAGAAUGUGUAUCUGCUAGAGCUACACCCAUCCCUGUGCCUGGCAUCUGCAGUGUACUCUGCUCUGGAGCAGGCCCAUGCUGACCUGUGUCAUCUGUAUGGGGUCAGGAAUGUCUCACAGAGAACUGGGCUGGAGCACAGGAUCCUGAAGCAAGCUCUGAUCCACUGGCCCACCAUGGCCACUCCUGGUGCCUCGUACAGCCCACAGAUCCAGAGAGAUUUGUUUUCAGAUGUGUUAAUUGAGGACCCAACCCUGGUCCGAGAAAUCGGCCUCUCUGUUUUGAAGUCAGCAGAGGAGCAGGAGCGGAAACAGGGAAGAGAGAAACAGAUUCUGGCAGUUGAAACAUUUUCCAAACUUCUAGAGCUUGUCACUCUUCGCCACCGCAUUAUUGAAUCAGCUUCAGAGACGGCGCACCUGUCACAAUUAUACAAAUCACUUACUGAGAAGAUGGGUUUUGAUGAAUUCCAUCUUUAUAUGCGGCCAGUGCAGUUUGAAUUUGCAGGGAAAAAAGAGAUCCCCAAACAGCUCCCUCUGUUUAUCACAACUCUACUUCAGGACAGCAGAUGUGUUGAUAGGUACUGCCCACCUGGCCUUCCUCUCGGCAUUCAGGAGCUUGAUGAAAACCACAUAGGAAAGUUCAGUUUCCGGACUGAAGAUGCUGUGAUAAAUGUAAUAAAAUGCAGCUAUACACUAACAUGCCAAAAGUCCUGUGAUAGCAAUAUGUAAAUUUAUCAUAUGUGGUAUUAUAGCUUAUCUUGUGAGUAAGGUAAAACACUGGCCAUCAUGCUCAUUGCAAGGUAACAUGAAUUAUCAGUUAGAGCAUGGCCUAAUAGUGGGUGCAGAUGGAUGGGGCAUUCUAUUUCAGAAGUUGUGUACUAGCCCUCUUUAAAAUACUUGAAAAUAAGAUGCCAAUAUUAACAAUUUAGAUAUUUGACAACAUUUUGAUCAAAUUUUUAUUUAGUGAAUUCCAAAUGAAAAUUGUUAGAAUAUUCUUUUUUCUUUUAUAUUUGUGCUACGGGGUUUUAAUGGGUGAUGCUAACUGUUUUCCAUGCUUAAUUAAUGGUUGGUGUUUGAUAAGACAGGUGGUGCUGUGCUGGUAAGAUUUGCAUUUUCUGGGGUUUGAUAUGAUAAGUGGAUUAUUGCUUUAGUUCAUUCCAGUCUUUAGUUAUUGAGCUCAGAACAUAAAGCAUCAGAAUGCAGCUAGUGACCUAAAUACUAGCGAACACCAGUGGAGAUUGGAGAAUGUUAAGAAGGAUUAAUUAGAUUCAUUUAAGUCCGAUGUUUGAUAUCAGAAUAAUGUUUCUGUGCUGAUUAGUUACUGUAAGUUCGGCUGUAUAAUAUAAUAUGUGUAUUAUGUAUGUACAUCACUCUGCUCUUCAGUUAUUCAGAUUUUUAGCUUUUCUAGUUUUGUGUGUUUUAGUGCGUUUUCUGUGUUUUCGUGAAUUAUUCUCUAAUAUCAUGAUCAUAAUAUCUGCAUCGCAGAUUGAGAUACAAUAUUGGUUCCAGUUGGCAUGUCAGUGUAUUUGUAUGACCAAUCUUUUUACAUUCUGUAUAUAUUGUGCAUUCUGAGUAAUUAAGUAUUAUUAGUGCUUAUGAAUUAUG